CCAACGGCCCUCUUCAGGGCCACAAAUACUCAAAAAUUCAUACAUU
rfam:Caenorhabditis japonica strain DF5081 Contig17151.5, whole genome shotgun sequence.